UGGGGAAUAUUGCACAAUGGGCGAAAGCCUGAUGCAGCGACGCCGCGUGAGGGAUGACGGCCUUCGGGUUGUAAACCUCUUUCAGUAGGGAACAAGGCCAGACGUUGUCUGGUUGAGGGUACUUGCAGAAGAAGCGCCGGCUAACUACGUGCCAGCAGCCGCGGUAAUACGUAGGGCGCAAGCGUUAUCCGGAAUUAUUGGGCGUAAAGAGCUCGUAGGCGGUUUGUCGCGUCUGCCGUGAAAGUCCGGGGCUCAACCCCGGAUCUGCGGUGGGUACGGGCAGACUAGAGUGAUGUAGGGGAGACUGGAAUUCCUGGUGUAGCGGUGAAAUGCGCAGAUAUCAGGAGGAACACCGAUGGCGAAGGCAGGUCUCUGGGCAUUAACUGACGCUGAGGAGCGAAAGCAUGGGGAGCGAACAGG
rnacentral:rRNA from 1 species